UCCCCCAUAACUGUAAAUUAAUUUUACAUUUAAUCUGCCUCGAUCACCAAAUCUUUCGACUGGUCCAAUCUAGCCCUUGAUAAGGAUUGUUUUUUUUUUCCUUUUCCGUAUAAUUGAGUCUUAAGUUUAAAUUUUCUAGGAUGAGCGAGAUAGACAAUCAUAACUUUUGUUACGAAAAUAUCUCUCAUCAUUACUUUUAAAUAUUUAGGCAUCUAAUAAGAAACUGAACCUACAAAUUCUAACUUAUAUGAAAAAAUAAUAAUACUGAAAAUUCAUAAUGUGUUUUUGUAAUAUAAGUUAUUGUAUUUGCUAUCAUCCUGCAUAAUUUGCAUUUAAAAGUCAGCUUCUAUGUUGACAAACAGAAUGGACAAAAGAUAGAAAGUGC
rnacentral:lncRNA from 1 species